GACGAACGCUGGCGGCGUGCUUAACACAUGCAAGUCGAACGGUAAGGCCCUUCGGGGUACACGAGUGGCGAACGGGUGAGUAACACGUGGGUGAUCUGCCCUGCACUUCGGGAUAAGCCUGGGAACCUGGGUCUAAUACCGGAUAGGACCACUGCCUGCAUGGGUGGUGGUGGAAAGCCGUUGCGGUGUGGGAUGGGCCCGCGGCCUAUCAGCUUGUUGGUUGGGGGAUGGCCUACCAAGGCGACGACGGGUAGCCGGCCUGAGAGGGUGACCGGCCACACUGGGACUGAGAUACGGCCCAGACUCCUACGGGAGGCAGCAGUGGGGAAUAUUGCACAAUGGGCGCAAGCCUGAUGCAGCGACGCCGCGUGAGGGAUGACGGCCUUCGGGUUGUAAACCUCUUUCAGCACCGACGAAGCGCAAGUGACGGUAGGUGCAGAAGAAGGACCGGCCAACUACGUGCCAGCCGCCGCCGUAA
rnacentral:rRNA from 1 species